AUGGGGAUUUAUCAUGAUUAUUUAUAAAUAUUUUAAUUUUUAAAUGAUUAAUUUUAUUAAUUACUUGUGUUAUUAAGAACAAUUAUUUUAAUAUUUAUGUUGGUAAUAAAUAAUAAUGGAGAUCAGAAGUCACUAAAAAUCCGUACACAUCAGCUUGAAAUUGACCGUAAUUAGACAUUGGAAUUUGCUGACAAUUUGGCAGAAAGGUUGAAAAAAAAGCAACGAUGUCCGAUGUCGAGACACCCUCAGUUCUUUGCGUUGCUACAAACAUACCCUUGGCUUUUAUCGACGCGUACACAUCGUCAGCUUCAUCAGUCGAAUACGGGAUGUCAUCGUGAGCUACAAAGUCUAUCUCUAGAUAUUCCUCAUCUAAUUCCCAUGGUGCGUCUCGCACUACUUCAUCAACGUAACGGCAAUGCCGUACUGCUUCAUAUCUUUCGUCAUCC